CCAUGGCUAUGAUGUCACCAAGGUCUUUGGGAGCAAGUUCACACAGAUCUCGCCCGUCUGGCUGCAACUGAAGAGACGUGGCCGUGAGAUGUUUGAGGUCACGGGCCUCCACGAUGUGGACCAAGGGUGGAUGCGAGCUGUCAGGAAGCAUGCCAAGGGCCUGCACAUAGUGCCUCGGCUCCUGUUUGAGGACUGGACUUACGAUGAUUUCCGGAACGUCUUAGACAGUGAGGAUGAGAUAGAGGAGCUGAGCAAGACCGUAGUCCAGGUGGCAAAGAACCAGCAUUUCGAUGGCUUCGUGGUGGAGGUCUGGAACCAGCUGCUAAGCCAGAAGCGCGUGGGCCUCAUCCACAUGCUCACCCACCUGGCUGAGGCUCUGCACCAGGCCCGGCUGCUGGCCCUCCUGGUCAUCCCGCCUGCCAUCACCCCCGGGACCGACCAGCUGGGCAUGUUCACGCACAAGGAGUUUGAGCAGCUGGCCCCUGUGCUGGAUGGUUUCAGCCUCAUGACCUACGACUACUCCACAGCGCAUCAGCCUGGCCCUAAUGCACCCCUGUCCUGGGUUCGAGCCUGCGUCCAGGUCCUGGACCCCAAGUCCAAGUGGCGAAGCAAAAUCCUCCUGGGGCUCAACUUCUAUGGUAUGGACUACGCGACCUCCAAGGAUGCCCGUGAGCCUGUGGUCGGGGCCAGUGUUCAUGGAGCCUCUUGAAUCUGUGCAUGUGUACUCCUAGCAAAUUUGGAAAAUAUGGGGCCAAAUUCUUCAAAUAUUUUUUCUGUUUCUUCUGUCCUCUCCUUUGGAGACCACAAACACUAGAUCCAUUGAAUUUGUCCCACAGCUCACGAAUACACCUUUUACCUUUUGGAAUUCUUUUUUUUUUU
rnacentral:sRNA from 1 species